CUUCAGCCGGACAAAGAAGGAGCAGACAAGGGAGACAGCUGUGUGUGACCCAAAGCUCGGAGGCCAGCCCGACCCAGCUAACCCACGGUGCUGAGAUUGAAUUUAGGGGCCUUGCACGUCUGGUCAAUCACUCCAGGACUGAUCUCCAUCCCUGUCUCUGGUUCUUGUAGUUCGCCGGUCUCACUGAGAAGCACAGUCUGCAGGGUCCCGAGUGGCCUUUCUGCCUCUGCCCUGUCCUCUCAGUGAUGGCAGCCUUGAAACUGUCUUCUGAGUUAUGGCAGCUACGCCCACAGGACUGGGUGACCCAGUGGGCUGCCAAGGCACUAGACUCCCAGGGUCUUCUUCCAGCUACCGUUUUGUAAAUGCUUGUAUGCAUUUAUCAAACACUUCUAUGUAGAGUUCGCCCUGUACCAGACACCAUGUGAAGUAUUAUAAUAUCCAAAUCUGCCUACAACCACCGGAUAAAUGGUUAGAGUCCCCAUUCUACAAACGGAGAAACCGAGACACCACGAGGUUGUGAAGGACCGGAGCGGGGAUUCAAACCCAGGAGGUCUGGCUCUCCUACCUCUCCUCGCUCUCCUCGCCUCAAGUUAUUUGAUUAAACCCGUUUUUCCUC
rnacentral:lncRNA from 1 species